rnacentral:rRNA from 1 species
UACGUAGGGGGCUAGCGUUGUCCGGAAUCAUUGGGCGUAAAGCGCGUGUAGGCGGUCCGGUAAGUCCGCUGUGAAAGUCGGGGGCUCAACCCUCGGAUGCCGGUGGAUACUGUCGGGCUUGAGUACGGAAGAGGCGAGUGGAAUUCCUGGUGUAGCGGUGAAAUGCGCAGAUAUCAGGAGGAACACCAGUGGCGAAGGCGGUGCUCUGGGCCGGAACUGACGCUGAGGCGCGACAGCGUGGGGAGCAAACAGG